rnacentral:lncRNA from 1 species
GUUCCAUUUUCCUCCGGAACGUGCAUCGAUUCCUUCACCUGCAUUGCAACAUUUACUCAGGCCAAUAAAGUUGAAUCGUCAAGAUUACAAGUACUUUACCCUCGUUGUUGGAUCUUGGGGUAUAUAACAAUCUGUGGUUCUGGACAUGGCCUCUUCCUUCCGGCAGCGGUGGCCCAGUCUCCCUCUCCCCGGGUGCCGUCCAACCUGCCGGCUAGGGUCCGCUGGCAAGCCGUGCGUCAUGGGGCGGCGGCGGCGGCCUGCGAAUGCGUCCCGUGCGCGUGGGGUGCCGCGGUCAGUUCUCUGGGCUGGUGCGAUUUGGAUGUG